rnacentral:lncRNA from 1 species
AUCCAGGUGCUGUAGGCCCUGGAAGGAGCCGGUCGCCACCCCGACCAACUGGUUGUCAUUCAGGAACAGGACGCGCAGGAACGGUUGGGGCGCAAGCAGGCUAUCCUCCAGCCUCUGCAGUCGGUUCCCUUCCAGGUGCAGGCGCUGCAGCCGCCUUGGGCCCCGCAGGAGUCCCUCGGGCAGCGACUCCAGCAGGUUGUACCCAAGGUCGAGGGUGUGCAGGGCGCCGAGGCUGGCGAGGAGCCCGGAGGGCAGCGAACUCAGCUGGUUCUCCGCCAGGUCCAAGUGGCCCAGGGCGUCCAGGCCCUGAAGCCAUUGCGCGCUCACCUCCCGCAGCUGGUUCUCCCUCAGGACCAGGGUGCUCAGGUUGGCCGAGGUGCUGAACAACCCGGGGGGCAGGCUGCGGAGAGCAUUGCGGGUCAGAUCCAGGGCGCGCAGCCGGGGCACGGGCGCCAGCAACUCGGGAGACAGCGCCUGCAGGCGAUUGCUCGAGAGGUGCAGCUCCCGCAGACCCGGACACCCUUGCAGGGCGGCGGCGGGCAGCUGCGUCAGGUUGGAGAAUUCCACCGACAGAUGGACAGUGUCGGCAGGGAGGGAGCUCGGAAACUCGGUGGGACCAUGGCAGGAGACGGUGCUACCCUCAGCCGACUGCAGUAUCAGGCAUUCCUUGAGGCUGGACACCCUGCCCAAGAGGGCCAGGAGAAACAGGGUUCUGGCAAGGCAGGUCUUGAGAUCCUGGAGGCUGAGGUUAGUGAACCAUGGUGAAAAAUAUCUCCCCUUCUUCCCGUCCCCGUGGCCACCACCCUAAACUGUACCCACUGAGUCCUUCCUCACCAGGACUGGAACAAGACGAUCCUCAUGGUUUGUU